rnacentral:rRNA from 1 species
UAGGGAAUCUUCCGCAAUGGGCGAAAGCUUGACGGAGCAACGCCGCGUGAGUGAUGAAGGUCUUCGGAUCGUAAAACUCUGUUAUUAGGGAAGAACAAAUGUGUAAGUAACUAUGCACGUCUUGACGGUACCUAAUCAGAAAGCCACGGCUAACUACGUGCCAGCAGCCGCGGUAAUACGUAGGUGGCAAGCGUUAUCCGGAAUUAUUGGGCGUAAAGCGCGCGUAGGCGGUUUUUUAAGUCUGAUGUGAAAGCCCACGGCUCAACCGUGGAGGGUGAUUGGAAACUGGAAAACUUGAGUGCAGAAGAGGAAAGUGGAAUUCCAUGUGUAGCGGUGAAAUGCGCAGAGAUAUGGAGGAAAACCAGUGGCGAAGGCGACUUUCUGGUCUGUAAAUGACGCUGAUGUGCGAAAGCGUGGGGAUCAAACAGG